rnacentral:rRNA from 1 species
UAGAGUAAUGCGUGACCAACCUGCCCCAUGCUCCAGAAUAGCUCUUGGAAACGGGUGGUAAUGCUGGAUGCUCCAACUUGACGCAUGUCUUGUUGGGAAAGUGUUUAGUGGCAUGGGAUGGGGUCGCGUCCUAUCAGAUUGUAGGCGGGGUAAUGGCCCACCUAGGCUUCGACGGGUAGCCGGCCUGAGAGGGCGGACGGCCACAUUGGGACUGAGAUACGGCCCAGACUCCUACGGGAGGCAGCAGC